rnacentral:tRNA from 1 species
GCAUCGGUGGCGGAACCAGGCAGACGCGCCGGCUUGAGGGGCCGGUGUCCGCAAGGACGUGGGAGUUCAAGUCUCCCCCGAUGCA